rnacentral:rRNA from 1 species
GACGAACGCUGGCGGCGUGCCUAAUACAUGCAAGUCGAACGCAGUGGGGACGGGUGAGUAACACGUGGGUAACCUCCCAUCAGAGGGGAUAACACUUGGAAACAGGUGCUAAACCGAUACUGAUGGAUGGACCCGCGGUGCAUUAGCUAGUUGGUGAGGUAACGGCUCACCAAGGCCACGAUGCAUAGCGGACCCUAGAGGGUGAUCGGCAAUACUGGGACUGAGAAACGGCCCAGACUCCGACGGGAGGAAGAAGUAGGGAAUCUGCGGCAAUGGACGAAAGUCUGACCGAGAAAAGCCGCGUGAGUGAAGAAGGUUUUCGGAUCGGAAAACUCUGUUGGUAGAGAAGCGGUAGCUAACAAGAAAGCCACGGCUAACUACGUGCCAGCAGCCGCGGUAAUAC